rnacentral:rRNA from 1 species
GACGAACGCUGGCGGCGUGCCUAAUACAUGCAAGUGGGACGCAAGGGAACACACUGUGCUUGCACACCGUGUUUUCUUGAGUCGCGAACGGGUGAGUAACGCGUAGGUAACCUGCCUAUUAGCGGGGGAUAACUAUUGGAAACGAUAGCUAAUACCGCAUAAUAUUAAUUAUUGCAUGAUAAUUGAUUGAAAGAUGCAAGCGCAUCACUAGUAGAUGGACCUGCGUUGUAUUAGCUAGUUGGUAAGGUAAGAGCUUACCAAGGCGACGAUACAUAGCCGACCUGAGAGGGUGAUCGGCCACACUGGGACUGAGACACGGCCCAGACUCCUACGGGAGGCAGCAGUAGGGAAUCUUCGGCAAUGGACGAAAGUCUGACCGAGCAACGCCGCGUGAGUGAAGAAGGUUUUCGGAUCGUAAAGCUCUGUUGUAAGUCAAGAACGUGUGUGAGAGUNGAAAGUCACACAGUGNCGGNAG